GGCUGUGUGCUUCAGUGGUUAGAGUGCUGGACUUGUAGUCCAGAAGAUCGGAGUUCAUAGCCU
rnacentral:tRNA from 1 species